ensembl:lncRNA
AUAAAAGAGAGACAUAGAAAGAGACUCAGAAAGAGGCAGAGAGAAAGGAAGUGAGUGAAAUUCAGGCGUGUCUCUGUGAUUUAGGUAUAAAGAGAGCUUAGUGUGUAGUCAGGGUCCAGUACAUCAGUAUGGAGAAAGCUGUGUGGAUACUGGCUCUUCUGUGUCUGCAGGUCUGUCUGCUCUCCACAGAGGCCCAACCUGGAACAGACAGACUGACAGCUGCCCAAACCAACCAAGACAUGUCAGACCAAGGAGAUUCUCCAGUACUUCCUCCUCAUCAACCUCGUCCAUUUCCUUCAACUCUGGAUUCAAGGAUUAAAAGAGAGGGGAGGGACCAGAGUGAACGCCAGAAGAAGCCUAACAACUACCCAGGAGUGGGGAGUCCUGUGGGAAGAGGCAACCAAUCACAAACAGAAACAUCCAAAGAGUUUGUAUAGAAAACAAAGCUUGAGGAAAGGAUCGUCUUUACAUGCAUAUAUACCACAUCGUAAUCUGAGGGGGGCCUGUAAGGACAGCUUGCACCCCGGCCCGGCAGCACCACGCUACACCAGUACAUCCACUGUAUUUGUGACAACUGUGCCCUCUGCUGCUUCACCUCCCCCUGCAGCAGACAGACUCCAGCGUUCGACGUCACCGGCCUUCUGACACCACCGUCCAUCUCAUCAUGCAUUUCACCUGUGUCUUGUUUAGCGCACCUGGUUCUCAUCCUCAUCAUUCCCCCCAGUAUAUAUGUUCCCUCUGCUCCCCCUGUCUAUGUGUGUAAUUGUCUCUGUGUUACAAAGAGCAGUGUUGCGCUUCGCAUAUAUCACUCGAUUAUUAAAAGAUUCUACAAAAGUAUUACGCCGUUCUCCUGCUCCUCCUUGUUCCGCCCCGAAGACGUGACAGUGUUUGAAUAUCUAUUGUGGCAGGUGACGGGGAGUGGUGAGGGGAGUGGUGAGGGGAGUGGUGACGGGGAGUGGUGAGGGGACUGGUGAGGGGAGUGGUCAGGGGAGUGGUGAGGGGAGUGGUGAUUGAGAGAAGAUAUCGGAUGGUCACAAUAACACAAUACAACUGGCUCUGUGAACACUCACAAUAACACAAUACAACUGGCUCUGUGAACAAUAUACUUGAAAACAUUUUGCAAAGUUCCAGAAGGAAGAUCUUCACCAACAGAUUAUCAAUAUUCAGCUGUUUUCACACACAUUUCUGUUUCAUUUAAUCUUUUUGCAAAGCAAAAUUGUCAUCAUGUAAUCAUUUUAAGUUAACUGAAAGACAGAGAAAUAGAGACCGUGAACGUAAGAAAGAUAAAGAGAGAUAGAAAGAGACUCAGAAAGAGGCAGUGAGAAAGGAAGUGAGUGAAAUUCAGGCGUGUCUCUGUGAUUUAGGUAUAAAGAGUGCUGAGUGUGUAGUCAGGGUCCAGUACAUCAGUAUGGAGAAAGCUGUGUGGCUACUGGCUCUUCUGUGUCUGCAGGUCUGUCUGCUCUCCACAGAGGCCCAACCUGGAACAGACAGACUUACAGCUGCCCAAACCAACCAAGACAUGAAUUCAAGGAUUAAAAGAGAGGUGAGUGACCAGAGUGAAUGCCAGAAGAAGCCUAACAAACAAUGUCCCAACCACAUUGGAGUGUUUGGUCCUUUGUCAGACCAAGGAGAUUCUCCAGUACUUCCUCCUCAUCAACCUCGUCCAUUUCCUUCAACUCUGGAUUCAAGGAUUAAAAGAGAGGGGAGGGACCAGAGUGAACGCCAGAAGAAGCCUAACAACUACCCAGGAGUGUGGAGUCAUUUGGGAAGAGGCAACCAAUCACAAACAGAAACAUCCAAAGAGUUUGUAUAGAAAACAAAGCUUGAGGAAAGGAUCGUCUUUACAUGCAUAUAUACCACAUCGUAAUCUGAGGGGGGCCUGUAAGGACAGCUUGCACCCCGGCCCGGCAGCACCACGCUACACCAGUACAUCCACUGUAUUUGUGACAGCUGCGCCCUCUGCUGCUUCACCUCCCCCUGCAGCAGACAGACUCCAGCGUUCGACGUCACCGGCCUUCUGACACCACCGUCCAUCUCAUCAUGCAUUUCACCUGUGUCUUGUUUAGCGCACCUGGUUCUCAUCCUCAUCAUUCCCCCCAGUAUAUGUGUUCCCUCUGCUCCCCCUGUCUAUGUGUGUAAUUGUCUCUGUGUUACAAAGAGCAGUGUUGCGCUUCGCAUAUAUCACUCGAUUAUUAAAAGAUUCUACAAAAGUAUUACGCCGUUCUCCUGCUCCUCCUUGUUCCGCCCCGAAGACGUGACAGUGUUUGAAUAUCUAUUGUGGCAGGUGACGGGGAGUGGUGACGGGGAUGGUGAGGGGAGUGGUGAUUGAGAGAAGAUAUCUGAUGGCCCACUGGCUCCACCCCCCGAGCCUUAUAUGGACUUCCCCCAGCAGGGGGGAGGGGAAGGUGUGCAGAGCGUGUGUUUCAAUAGCCUUAUCUGUGUGAUUACCUGUUGUGACCUGGACUGUCUGAUUACCCCCCUGUGUACCAAACUGGUUUGGACGAGGACCCGAUUACCUCUGGAAAAAGGACAACAAACUACAAGAACGAAG